UGGGGAAUCUUGCGCAAUGGGCGAAAGCCUGACGCAGCAACGCCGCGUGCGGGAAGAAGGCCCUCGGGUUGUAAACCGCUUUCAGAAGGAACGAAACUGACGGUACUUUCAGAAGAAGGUGCGGCCAACUACGUGCCAGCAGCCGCGGUGACACGUAGGCACCAAGCGUUGUCCGGAUUUAUUGGGCGUAAAGAGCUCGUAGGCGGUUCGGUAAGUCGGGUGUGAAAACUUUGGGCUCAACCCAAAGCGUGCACUCGAUACUGUCGUGACUUGAGUUCGGUAGGGGAGUGGGGAAUUCCUAGUGUAGCGGUGAAAUGCGCAGAUAUUAGGAGGAACACCGGUGGCGAAGGCGCCACUCUGGGCCGAAACUGACGCUGAGGAGCGAAAGCGUGGGUAGCAAACAGGAUUAGAUACCCUGGUAGUCCACGCCGUAAACGUUGGGCACUAGGUGUGGGUUCCAACCAACGGAAUCCGCGCCGUCGCUAACGCAUUAAGUGCCCCGCCUGGGGA
rnacentral:rRNA from 1 species